rnacentral:misc_RNA from 1 species
UUGACAUUUGUCAGCUACUUUGCAAAAACAGCAAUUCUUCAAAAAUUCAAAACACAUUCUUGAAUAACUUGUGCUGUUGGCCAGUUUGUAAAAUAUUUCCUCAAUACCACAAAUCCGAAUCCCAAAAAUAUGAUGAGUUAAAAUUUCCCGCAACUAACAACACACAAAAUUUAAAUUACAAACAUCAAACAUGUCAUUCCAAGAUAUUUUAGGUUAGAUUAAUGUUUUUAUAUCAAAAUUUACAAGAAAACAAUUUAUAUAGUCGAGGAAAGCCUUUCACAUUUAUUUAACAAUAAUGUCAGGCGGAAGCGUGAACAUCUGCAGUGUAACUACAGAAGUCAAACAGGCAUUAACAGAAUUCAGAUUUAGAAAAGCAAAUGAUACAGCUGCAUUAGUUCUUAAAGUUGAUAGAGAAAAGCAGGAAAUAAUUAUAGAUGAAAAACUCGAGGACAUUUCCAUUGACCAGCUUCAAGAUAUUUUACCUAGCCAUCAACCUCGAUAUGUAGUGCUAUCUUAUAGACAAGAACACAGAGACGGAAGAAUAUCGUACCCGUUAUGCUUCAUAUUCUUUACACCAAGAGAUAGUCAUGCAGAAUUGCAGAUGAUGUAUGCUGGUUCAAAGAUUGCGUUGCAAAAAGAAGCUGAACUUACUAGAAGCUUUGAAAUAAGAGAAUUGGAAGAUUUAACUGAAGAAUGGUUAUUGGAGAAGUUGGGGAAUUAAGGAAUAAGAGCAGCAAAUACAUCAAGACAUCAAUAGUUCCUUUAUAAAUUAUAUGCUUUGUUUGUGUACAAAUCAUUAUUUUUAUAUUUCCUGCGCAGUAACUCCAUAACAUGAAUUAUAAACUGGCGGUGAAGUACGAUAAUAGCUUUCAUGAACGUUCUUUAUUUUAUUGCAUUGAUAAUGAUUUAAAACACUAGGAAUUGAAUAUUUCUACAAAAAAUCAGAAAAUUGUGAAUUAAUGUCAGUAAACCUACAGAUAAGUUAACCUAUAAAGUCCUGUCAUGCAUAUUUUGAUCUUAAAUAAAUAAAAGUGGGAGCUCCACAGGCUAUUAUUCUAUAUCCAUUCCACGCAAAAGAAGCUCAAGGCAGAGAUAGGUGGAACAUUUUACGGGAGGCCUAUUCUCAGCAGUGGACAAAUAUAAGCUAAUUUAUGAUUCCACACAAAAUUCAUUUUUUUGUAGCCAGAGCGUUUGUGGACAUCCCUUACAGUGUUGGGCAUAUAAUAUCUGAGAUUAUUCUUUUAUCUGUGGAAGAAAUCGAGUCAAUAUAUUUUCUAGCAAACAGCAUCACAAUUGUAACAUCGCCGUAUCACCGACAGUUUAUAAGAAACAAAAUAUUAAGUUAAGAAAAGUAACAUAUGUAACUGAUUAUGAACAAAAUUAGUAUAAGAUUAUUUUAUUAUAUAUUUUAAAGUUUUUAUUAAAAAUAUUGCAUUUAGUUUAUACAAUCAGAAAGUAGUCACUUUUAUUUUAAACAUAAAUAUACAGAUCUUGAUUGAAAAGCAAUAAAAUGAUCUCAAAAAUGUUCUCAUAUCUUAUAAUAUAUACCGUUGGUAUGUUGGAAAAAUAUUUGGAACAUUUAAAAACUUUUUGUAAUAAGAGUGUGAUGCAGGUUUAAGAAAUUGCUGGUAUAGAUCAUGGAUCUGGGGAUUAAACCGGGAAUCUAUGGUACUGGUGUCGCCAGUACCACUUAAGUGAUUAAAUACUAAGCCCAGACCAGUCAAAGGCCAGACCAAGACUCAAUUCCUUCUCCUACGCCUCGAUCAUCUUUUCCUGACAGAAAAAAAUAACACUCCCCGCCUGGGAUCUGAUUUAAUUUCGCUUCUCAAUUAUUGUCAAUGUAAACAAACACUUAUCGCUCUGCUAGCGGCAAUUUCCAAAUCAAAUAAAUGAUUGGAUUUUGUUUAUCCUUAUCAACGAGACAAUAAAAGUGUUUUUCUUUGAAAUUUUUUUUAAACACUCAAAUUAAAACCUUGUACGGAAUGGAACAAAAAAUGAUAUAAUAUACAAUAAUUUUCUUCGGAAAUAAAUACAUAUUUCUGUUGUACUAUAAUAUAUUAUAUUUUUGCAACAUAUUAACACUACGCAAUAUUUUGUUGGUCUGUUUGGUACAAUGUAUGUUUAUUUUUUGACACAAAAGUAAUAUGACAUGUGUACAUUAAUAAUGUACAUAUCCGUCCAUUCUUCCUUCAUUUUCUAAUGAACUCAUGUUGCAAAGCAUAUCUUUAGUAAUUAGAUCUCGUGAGAAACGAUAGUGCUAUGCCAAAAAGAAAACCUACAGCGUUUGUUAUGUUGUUUAACAGACCAAUAUGUAUAAAAAUUAAUUUUCACAAUGCGAAAUUGUACAUUUUUUACAUACACAGAAUUUAUUUGUUUUAAAUAUAGGUACCUGAAAAUAUAAGUGGUUCAGUAUUUAUGCGUUGGGCAAUCGAACUUUGUCAAAUAUGGGACCAUGGUUAUAAUUGAUAAUGCGAUAUAAAAUUUAUAAUAAAUGAUAAAUUGCAAUUAUUACAUUUUUUUAAAUGGUUGAUUUUAAAAGAUAAAAGUAAAAUAUGUGUGGCAGCAGUCAGCACACCAUUCAAUUACAAGUUGUAAUGUGGGCACCACAUCCUACUCCGAUUAUUUCUUUCCCUAAACUAUGUUGAAGAUGUCGCCACAAAUUAUUUUUCCCUUUUCUAGCGGCCCCACCAAAAUUUGUAUUAGUGUUGUCAGCACACAUAGCUACUAAUUUUUCCUUAAGGUUUUUGUUUUUUAUUAGUUCCUCAAGCAUUUUGCUCUGGGUAUCAGAUUGUUCGUUUGGAAGCGAAGAAAAUGAAAUCAUUUUAACGUGGACUCCGGAUAACGGCAAAAAAUAACGAACAAGUACAGGAAAACAUUUUUCUGCCUUUUUGUUUGAUGCGUCUAUGCUGAGAGAAAUAGACCCACACGUACUCAAUUCUUCGUCCACUUCGUUAAUGGAUAAUGGAGCCAAGACAUUACAUACGAUUGCGUCACUUUUUGUCUUUCCAGAUGAAUAUUUUGGCUCAUAAACCUUUUUAAUGAGUUUGGAAAGACAGUCAUUUGUCCUAAAGCUGUGUCCAUGAACAACUGCAUGGUAGGCGAACAUGCCUUCUUGUGCAGAGAUUUUAUCAUCGGUGUCCUUUUUUAAGAUGAAAUUCUGUAAAUUAGAAGAAGAGCUGACAGCUUUCUCAGCAUCUUUAUGUUUUUUCGUUUUUGUAUGUUGGGUAAUAUCAUUUCUUCCUCCAUGAGCGACAGAAAAAUGGACACCACAGGUUUUGCAUAGUACUUUUGAUCUGUCAGCGGUAGAAAUGUCAGUUUUAAUAAACUUAAAUUCUCUCUCCAAAUCUUCAUUGAAAACACAUAACCGUUUUUGUUUUUUUGAGAGUGACAUUAUUCGCAACACAAACACCAAUUAAUAUUAAUGAUGACACUUUCACAAGUACGCUAAAACUGAGCAGCCAUGCGACCGUAUUCACCGAAAGAGAGACACAAUACAACUGGCACUAAACUCAUGCACGCACUGGCGACUAGACCUUUAGGUAGAGAAUUUUGCACUUCUGUCGAAUGUGCAUGUCGGUAGGCGCACCUGACGGUACAGUGUACAGUCAACAAGAAAAGCUUCUCGUUCAUCGCGAAGUACAGCCGAUGCAACAAAACACGCAUUAAGUAGCACAUACACGAUACAUUUUCAUGCACUUUUUAAAACUGUACUAGUUUUUUUUAAGCUUUUAUGAAUUGCGAUGAAACUAUUAAUAAAUUAUUAUCUUUGUUAGUAAAAAUAUACAUUUUUUUAUUUUUGCGUGAAACCGGGACAUUUUAGGGAAUUUUCUGAAACCGACGGGACGCCCUCAAAAGCGGUCAAAACCGGGACUGUCCCGGCCAAACCGGGACGUAUGGCCACCCUAAUUACAACCGGUCAGGCAUUUAAUUGAUCAGAUAUCAAAAUUUUAGAUAUAGAAAAUAACUACAAGAAACGAUUAUUUCUCGAAAUGUACCACAUCAAUAAAACUAAGAAUUCAAUUAAUUACAAAACAGAUACCAGCAGUUUGAGUGAUAUUUAUUGCAAUAUUUUACAAUUCUAAAAAUAGCAAAAAUACUUAACAGCUGGUUCGAUAAUAGACUUGUUGACUCUUUAACACAUCUUGAAAAAAUUAUUCGUCUCAGUGUACGCUUAGCACUGGUGAAAACGAUGUGUGGUUCGAAGCCACAUUGCUGUAUAUUAGAAUAGAUUUACAACAUUUCGUAAGUCAUAUUAUUGUAAUAUGUAUUAUAAUUGUAUCUAAUUGUUAAUUAAUUGUGUAGUUUGUUCCUGAGGAAGAUGAAAAAAUAAAUUAUUAUCGAAAUAUCGAACUUAACAGAAAUAAAUAUAGUUUCAAUCUAAGACACAGCCCACAAUUUCCGAUAAUUCAACACCAUUCCAUAGUGUUAUACAACAUACCUCCACAGUCGAUAAAUACAAAGAAUUUUGUAAGUCAGUUCUAUAUAUAUAAUAUAUUUAUAUAGUUUAUUAUUAUUACUACAUUUAUAAUCUAUGGGAUAUACUACAUGCAUUUAACUACGCAGUUUGUUUGCCAAUGCAUCUAAAUAUUGAACGACUUAUAAUAUUGAACUGUUUAAAAAGUAUUAUAUAUCGAUGUAAAGCCUUAAUUUAUGUAUGAAUUUUAUAUCUUAUCCACUGCAAUUUUGAGGGUGUUUAUUCCAAAAGAAAUAAUGUAGCACUGCCAUAACCUUUACUAAAAAAUGAAGUUUUGAUAUGUUUUAUUAUUUGACUCUGUAUGAGAAAGAAAAAUAUAGUCGAUUGGUACUGUUGCACAGAGUUGUAAUAUACUUUUGAUGCAAUUGUUGAUAUUAACCCUAGCCCUAGAAGGACCAAUGAGGGUUAAAAGUUAAAAAGUAUCCACAACAUUGCAUUACAUCCGAUUUUCUAAAUUCCUUUAUUCCUAAAAAUCUCAAAUAAUUAGUAGUUGUCGGUAUACUACUGCCCUAUUAGAUGGUAUAAUUAGCAUUUCUAUAAUUUAAUUCAUUUCCUCAUACUUUUAUAAAAACUUGACAGUGGACUAUAAAUCGACACCCCCAUCGAACAAGGUUGUAACUCAGUUUUAAUGAUUUUACAGGAGAGGCAAAAAACGAAAACAUGACUUUUUAAAAAUUUGUAGCGAAAUAAUUAGACUUUUUACACUAAUGUGAUAUGAUAUUUAUAUCAUAAUAAGGGAUUACUGUGAGAUGUAUGUUUUGUAAUUUUAAUAGCUAUUGAAAAUCUUGAGUUUGAUUCAGAUACAACCUUGAAAUUAAACAUGAGUAUUCGUAGAAAAAGGUUGUAAGUCGCCUAACAACUAUUUUACACUCUCUGUGUUAAUUAUUUUUCCCGUUUAACUAUUAAAAGGUUGUAUGUUUUGAAUUAUUUGCAAUAUAGCUAGGAGAAAAUAAGUUUUUAAGGGAUAUUUAAACAAAAUAUCAACUAACAGUAUUCACAAUUUUAAUUGGAAAUUAUAAAUUUCACAAUAACAAUAAUAUUCUACCACUAUGAAAAAAUCAUGGUAUAAAAUAUCUCAAAUUUUUCGCAUUUUCAUUGCGUAUCUGUAAAUAUUUAAUUCUAGACCAUUUUACUUGAUUAAUUUAGUCUUUUAAUAUUAAUAUCUACAUCAAAAUUAACAUGUGUGUCCUUAAAUAUGUUAAAAUUUAGAAUUUGGUUCUGAUUUAAUUCAGUUACGGAUUUAGGCUUGCCUGAUACUUUGGCAUAUCGUAUCAUGGUUAUCCAUUGGUCUGGAGCAUAUACGACUUAAUGUUUUUUACGUUUUUGUAUAAGGGCAUGCAUUGAAUCACCCUCUUUUGUGAAUGUGCUAUUUCGAAAAAUACAUGUGUAAUGUUAAUAUUACACUGUUUCACUAUAUAGAAGUAUGUACCAACAACUAUUCUAUUCCACCGCAACUAUCAAAAUGGAAAAAAGUCCUUAAAUCCUUUUUUUAUUUUCAUUUCGAUAAAUUGACUUAUGAGAUACACCAUAUGUUUAAAUACUUAAUAAAUUAAACAUACGUGCAACAAAGUUGUAACUCAUUUAACAACCUUGUUAAUCGUCAAGUAUAAAGAAAGUAAAUAUUUAACAUAGGGAGUAUCCAGUGUUACUGCCUUUUUCACGCUAAAAUGGCACACGUAAGUUAAAAUACAACUUUUUUCAAUGGAGUAUUAGCCAAACUAUUGAGAAUUAAACUAUGUCGUUUAUAUUGACGUUUGGGCAAUUUUUUGCUGAAUUCACCUGUGUUGAAAUCUGAAAAUAGAUGUAACUUGAGUUACAACCUUGUUCGAUAGGGGUGUCGAAAUAAUCCCCUUGAAAACCUACAUCACCAUCCCAAAAUGGAAAGGGACGAUAUCAUUCAUGUGUCAAAUUAGCAAAAUCUAAAAGAAAAAAAAAAGGCCAAUAAGUGGGCAAAAACAACCAUAGUUUGUUCAAAAUGCAAGUAUGUAUGCGGUAAGCACAGCAAGAAGUCAAAAAUGUUUAUAUAUCCUACGAAGAUGCCAAUUCCACUGAAGCCGAAGACUCCGGGUAAAUUAUAAAUUCGUAUCUUUUAACUGUCCCAUAAACGUCUAGGAAUAAUAUAAAAGUGUUAUUUUUAAAAAACUCUAAAAUGAAGUAAAAACCACUUCUAUGUAAUUGGUAUAUUUAUUAACAUCUAAAAAAAUUUUUAAUAAAUAUACCAAUUACAUAGAAGUGGUUUUUACUUCAUGUUAAAGUUUUUUAACUAUAUGGUAUACAGCCAACCUAGGGAACUUCCCUUUUAGUUUGUUAUUUUUAAAUUAGUUUAAAUAAAGAAGCACGUUUUUGAUUAAUCUAUGUGUGGACAUUUAUUAUACGAGUAUAUAAACAUUGUAUUAAACUAUGUGUGGACAUUAUGUAUAAAAAAUGAAAUGUUAUGUGUGGUCUAUCCUAUUGUAUGGUUGUGAGACAUGGACGUUAAAAACCACAAUGCUAAACAAAAUAGAAGCAUUCGAAUUGUGGUGUAUCGACGAAUCCUAAAGAUAUCGUGGGUUUCGCACACUUCCAAUGAAGAUGUUCUUCAAAUGCUGAAUUCAGAACGUCUGCUCAUAAGCAUCAUAAAGAGGAGAAAAACAGAAUACUUCGGCCAUAUAAUUAGAGGAUCUAAAUACCAUCUGCUUCGCCUUAUAAUACAAGGAAAAGUGGAGGGAAAGAGAUGGAUUGAUCGAAAGAAACUUUCAUGGCUGCGUAAUAUUAGACAAUGGUGUGCACAGUAGAAGAAUUAUUUCGCGCAGCAGCCGAUAGAGAGAUUUCAAGAAAUUGUAAACAUGAUGACGGCCAACGUCUGAAUACAUACACGGCACCUAAAGAAGAAGAAGGACAUUUAUUGACCCUCCUUGGUCCUCGCUGUUUCUACUAAAAGGUUGGUCCUGCGAGGGUUAACUAUUCUUUAUAACUUUUUCGAUUUUAAAUAUCUUUUUACAAACCUGGAGCACCUGCUACAGUUCGUCCUUAUUCUGGUGGUGAGUGUUGCCCAGAUUCGUCUUGAUUUGUCGAAACCUGGCUUACUUGUAACACGUGGCGUAUUCCGGUUGGUAGGUGUUGCAUUCAUCUCCGAGUACUCGACUUUGUCUAAAUUGUUUUUAAUUACUAAUUUUGCAAUUUGUAGAAGAGAAAUAGUUCUAAAAAUGAAUGCUUCUAAGACAAACAUGUAUGUUAGUCGCCAACCUCACUGAAAUACUAUACAUGGUCAGUGUUACUACAUGACACAUAGACUUGGACUCUGAAAGUUGAUACGAUCAUUCGCCUAGAGGCAUUUGAGAUGAGGUUGCAUGGAAGAAUGACCCAAAUAUCCUGGAGAGGCAUCCAUACCAACGAAGCUGUGUUAAAUAAAGUUCGUUGGUUAUUGAGAACUGUUAAAAUAAGAAAAAAAUUCCUAACGAGGGCAUGUUCUUAGAGGAGACUAAUAGUACAGGCUCAUUCGGCUUAUCAUGAAAGGUAAAUCUAGGGCUGCAGAGGAAUUUGAACUAAGCAGAUGUCAUGAUGAUGUUCUUAUUACAACCAACCAAGAACUAGCCACAAUGUUGACUCAACUAGCACAAGCGUUAGAAAAGAUAGGGUUAAAAAUGAACAUGAGUAAAACAAAAAUCAUGACAAAUACAAACGUAAAUAACAUACAGCGUUUUUGGAAAAUUAAGAUGGAUACUAAAAACCACACAGAUACAACAGUACCAAAAAAACAGUAAAAAUCCGUGUAUUUGAUCAGUGCAUCCUUCCUGUUCUGACGUAUGGCUCAGAAAUAUGGACAUUAACAAAGGUCAACAUAAACAAAAUAGAAAUAACUCAAAGAAAAAUGGAAAGAUCCGAGACAGGAAGAUAAAAGAUGGAAUGCUGAAAUACCAAACUGGAGACCGUGGACAGGAAGACCUCAGAUGCCAUGGAAGAACGAUAUUGUAAAAGCUGCAGGAACUCACUGGAAAAGCGCAGCCAAGGACAGACAGAUAUGGGGAAGGCCUAGGCCAAAAUUGGAUAGAAAUGGGCUAAAGAAAAAGAAGGUUUCAUGUCUGAAGAACAUUCGCGAUUGGACAGGAAUACGCAGUGCCGAAGAACUAUUCCGAUUAGCAAGACCGUGAACAACUUGCUAAUGUAAUCGUUUUAAACUAUCGUAUUUUCUUCUUCUUUCUAGCAUGAUCCAUCAUGCUAGUUAGCUACUGACUGUUCAUUGCCAUCAAGUUUCCCCCUUCCGAUGAGGUCCAGCAUUCUCACCAUCGUUUUGGUGUUCUACCUACUGGGUACUAUUGUAUCAUUUUCAAUAAAGUCUUUAUCUAUUUAAAGAUUUUACUGCUCUAUGUGAGACUCUUUACAUAUCUACUCAUAAUUUAAAAAUUAAAAAUGUGAUUUUUGCUGCCAUAUUUCAAAAUGGUUCUAAAUCAAAACUUCAUUUUUUUAUCACUAUACUGUUUAUUGAUUAAACAUGUGAUGAUAGUCUUGCCUUAUAGACACUCUUAAAACUUGUUAUCCAUGUAAUUUUUAUACUAAAAUAAAUAACAAUUUGCCAAAAACUGUAAACCGCUAAUACAUUCCAAAGUUAACCAAAUGUGUAGUAUAUUUGUACAGAGUUGGUCCAAAAAUCAAUAAUUCCAUAAUACCUGUUAAUACGAUGUACAUGAAUUUUUAAUAAACAAUUUAUUAAUCUUAA